rnacentral:rRNA from 1 species
GACGAACGCUGGCGGCGUGCUUAACACAUGCAAGUCGAACGGAAAGGCCCUGCUUUUGUGGGGUGCUCGAGUGGCGAACGGGUGAGUAACACGUGAGUAACCUGCCCUUGACUUUGGGAUAACUUCAGGAAACUGGGGCUAAUACCGGAUAGGAGCUCCUGCUGCAUGGUGGGGGUUGGAAAGUUUCGGCGGUUGGGGAUGGACUCGCGGCUUAUCAGCUUGUUGGUGGGGUAGUGGCUUACCAAGGCUUUGACGGGUAGCCGGCCUGAGAGGGUGACCGGCCACAUUAGGACUGAGAGACGGACCAGAAUCCUACGGGAGGCAGCAGUGGGGAAUAUUGCACAAUGGGCGGAAGCCUGAUGCAGCAACGCCGCGUGCGGGAUGACGGCCUUCGGGUUGUAAACCGCUUUCGCCUGUGACGAAGCGUGAGUGACGGUAAUGGGUAAAGAAGCACCGGCUAACUACGUG